GACGAACGCUGGCGGCGCGCCUAACACAUGCAAGUCGAACGAGAGAUGAGGAGCUUGCUCUUCAAAUCGAGUGGCGAACGGGUGAGUAACGCGUGAGGAACCUGCCUCAAAGAGGGGGACAACAGUUGGAAACGACUGCUAAUACCGCAUAAGCCCACGGCUCGGCAUCGAGCAGAGGGAAAAGGAGCAAUCCGCUUUGAGAUGGCCUCGCGUCCGAUUAGCUAGUUGGUGAGGUAACGGCCCACCAAGGCGACGAUCGGUAGCCGGACUGAGAGGUUGAACGGCCACAUUGGGACUGAGACACGGCCCAGACUCCUACGGGAGGCAGCAGUGGGGAAUAUUGCACAAUGGGGGAAACCCUGAUGCAGCGACGCCGCGUGGAGGAAGAAGGGUCUUCGGGAUUGUAAACUCCUGUUGUUGAGGAAGAUAAUGACGGUACUCAACAAGGAAGUGACGGCUAACUACGUGCCAGCAGCC
rnacentral:rRNA from 1 species